GGGGUUGUGGCUCAGCGGUAGAGCGCUCACCUAACAGGUGCGAGACUCUAGGUUCGAUCCUCAGCACCA
rnacentral:tRNA from 1 species